UCCCCACGCCUUGGGCCGUCCUGCUUCAUGAUUCCUUAUCCCAUAAAUACCCCAAGCCGCUUGCCUUCAGGUAAGUGGAUCUGAGACUAGUUUUCCCGUCUUCCUGAUUGGCUGCCUCGCGAAUAAAACCUGUCUCUGCUGCAAACCUCGGCAUCUCAGCAUUUUGGCUUGCUGUGGUUCGGGCAAAAGGAACCUGGUUCAGUAAUAUUAUCUCCGUCGGAAGAAUGGAAGCUACGAGUGGUUAAGAAGUUUAAAAGUGUACCAGUAGUAAGUUGUAGAGAUUGUGUGUGCAGCCUGGCCGGUUGCCCGCAGCAUUCUACCUGCCGCAUCGGGAAAGGCUGAACCUCGAUGGAGAAGAAAAGGAGGCUCCACUGUACGGAACGCUCUCCCGUGCGCAUGCUCCGAGAGAUUUCAUGCCAGGCAGAGGGCACAAGAUACUCCGAUAAUUAAGUAUCAAAGGUUGAUGGAGCGCCAUGGAAAUUCACCGAAGGCUGCUAGCCAGGAGGCUCAAGAAGGAAUUGUCAAAAAGGAGAACUAUCCAGACAUUGUCUUUGCAGCCUAAACAGGAAAGAAAACUCAUAGAAUGGUGGAGUGCUUACAGCAAAGUAAGAGUGGUAACCAUGGAGAAGCACCGCUCCAGAUGCUCAUUCUAGGAAGGAGCUGAUACCCAGGUGAAGAGGGGCUUCAGCAGACAGACUCCAGCUGUCAGUGCCUUCAGGGUCUGCUCAGGUGUGGAGAACUGCCUUGCCCGGUAUCACAGCCUUCUCAGGAGUCUAACCAGGACCAAAAGGUAGACACCACAAAAAACCAAGCACUAUGAAGAAUUAGAGAGGUAGUGAGGUCCCCAUCAAUACGCUGAUGACAAAGCCACUUCACAGGGCAGAGGAGGAUGCAGAUGAUGUUGGAUCUUCCUCUUCUCCACUCAGAAAGUAGGAAGAGGACGCUGGUGUGAAAGUGUCACCCAAUGGCCACAUCUACCUGGAAGCCAGUUGACAAGGGCACCUCAAAAAUGUAACCCCCAGUGCUACAGAGCAGUGGGUGGAGCCAGGGGAUGGAUUUGAGAACAUUGCAUAUUGCUGGCGCAUAUCCUGAAUUCUGAAGUGGUGAUAUCAGAAUUUACCCCUAGAACAAUGGAAUCUUUAGCUCUUCCUUAUAGUGUACUGAUACUCCAAGUCCUUUGAUCAUUUUGCUAAUCUUCUGUGAAUUCAGCAAUGACUUAGAAAUGAUGGUUUAUCCAGGACCUACUUCUGUAAAGCAGGGGAGCACUUUCAAUGACCUAGUCUUUUCUACCUCCAGAGCAAGAAACAUCAACAACCAAAAAAAAACAACAAGGAAAAAUCAAAGACAUAAAUAUAAUUUCCUGAGUUGAAAAAAAAAAAACCCAGAAUAUAGAGACUGAAAUAUCACCAUAUACCAUAUUCUAUAUACAAUUAAGAAACUAGAUACUGAACACAUUUUGUGAAAUUUUAGAACGGUAAAGAUAAUGAAAAUAAUUCUUAGUGUCUAAUGUAGUGAGUAGUGGGUCAGGAAGAAACAGUUUUUCUCCAGAGGAACAUAAGUAAGCCUGACUAGGACUUCCAGAAAAUCAUGGAAUCAUGAAGAAUGAACUUUAUGAUUCAAAAACUAUUAUCAAACCAAUAUGGUAGAGAGAAUGUGUGUGUGUUAAAGCAACAGGAAGACAUUCUCAGAUAUCUACAGAUUCAGAAAGUAGAUCUCAUAAGGAAUAUGUCUAAAAAUAUAUUUUUAAAUACUUCACUAAAUACAUAGGAUUUAUCUUGAUGUCCCAUAGACCCAUGUUUAAGAAACUGCUCUGCUACUUUCUAGUUGAGAGACAUUAAGUCUCUCCAUUUUCUCAUCAAUUUCCAGGUUGAUGCUGCUCUUAUGCUUUAAUUAGUCAUGUAUGGUCCAUGGGGCUAAAGUCGUUGAUGAUAAAGGGAACGUUGGAUGCCUUGUUGUAUUCUACAACAUGUGCUUAGUGCUCAGGACAUCAUAAGUGGUAAAUGAACAUAAGAUGAAUGACAGAUUAUAUGAAUUAUUACCAAUACAACUACCUGCUUGAAACAUGUAUGCUAGAACUCAGAAAAAGAAAAAUUAUCAAGUCUUUGAAAAAUAUAUUGAGAUAGAUAUAAUACUGAGUCAAAGAAGAAGACAGAAAUAUAAAAAUAAGACACUAGAAUAAACAAACAACCAUGUAUACUGAGGAGAUAAAUAUGAGGAUCACUUUGCUUAAUCUUUUGCAAAUUAAUUUGAAAUCUUGAGUAAGAAGCAUAAUAUUCUAGAAAAUAUAUAUAAUGCAAAAAAAGAUAUUAAGAAACUUGUCAAAAGCUAUCUCAAAAAAGCAUCAGCAUCAAUUUAUUUCAGAAGUAAAUUUUACGAAGUAUCUAAGGAAUGCAAUUUGAAAGCAUAAAGAAGGUGAAAGUUUCUAACGGGUUUUUACAAAUAUAGGAAAACAUUGGUAGAAACCUUAAUAAAGGCAACAUAAUAAAAUGAAACUACAGCUGGAUUUCUCUAAUGGACACUGAUGCACAAUUCCUAAAAUGUGUUAGCAAAUAGAAUUCAGCAGCUUAUUAAAAGAUUGAGAGAUACUCUCCUGGAGUGAUUCAUUCAAUAAAUUCAAUAUAUCAAUAUGUUUUCCAUGUUAAUUACAGGUCAAGGUAGAGAAACAUUGUGUUUGAUUAUGCUGACAAAGUGCUUGAUAAAAAGUCAAUAUUAACAAGUUUAAUAAGUAGGAAUAUAUAAUACUUAAGUAGCAAUAUGCCUAAUAGUGAAACACAAAAAUGUUCCCAUUAAAUUAAAACGUAAAACAAGGAUGUUGAUUAUCACUCCUAUUACCUAAACUUCUGUGGGAAAUUCAUUCCAAUGACCUGAAGAAUGAUAAAUAUGAGGUACAAAAGUUCUAACAUAGAAGGAAAAAUUUAAUUUAUAAAUACAUAGAUAAUUGCAUAAACCUGGAAAACCCAAAAUCAACUGGGAACAUUGUUACAAAUAAUGGAAAAAUUUAGUAAGGAGAAUUUAAGAAUUGAUAUCUAAAACCCCGUUGGCUUUACUAUGUUCAAAUAGGAUGUACUUAAAGAAAUUCAGUUAAACAAAAAUUACAAAAUAAAUGCCCAGAAAUAGAGGUAAGUAGAAAUGUGCUAGAUUUAUAUGAAUAAACUUUAAAAUGCUCUAAUAGGACAUAGAACUUGAAAAAACUUUAAAGUGGUCCAAGAAACAUAAAAUACAAUUUAAUUAAUGGGGAUUAAUGCCCAGUUCUAUUUAAGGUAAUGCAAUAUUGUAAAGAUGCUAAUUUACCCUGUGUUAAUCUAUAAAUUGUAUGUGAUCCCAAUAAAAUUACCAAUAGAAUUGUUUUUAUAAAAGUAAACAUAAAUCUAUAGUCAAGUAACUAUUAGGCAGACAAAUUUUGAAAAAGGGAACAAACUACAUUUUUACACAUUAUAAAACUUCCAUAAAUAAAAGUUUGGUACUUGUGCAUUGUAUAGAAAUAAAGGAAAGAAGCAGAGUCUUGACUGAGACUCAAAUCAUGUGGAUAUUUAGAUUAUGAUCAUCUAAAUCAAAUCUGUGUUAAAGGCAGAAUAAUCAAUAAAUGAUGGUGGGACAACCUACUAAGAAAAGAAUAAAUUAUCACAUACAAAAUUUAUCACUUUUCUGAGAAAGAUAAAUGGAACCGGAGGAAUCAGGCUCCCUGACUUCAGACUAUACUAUGAAGCUACAGUAAGCAAAAUAGGGUGGU